UCUUUGGAGAGUUGUGAGGAGAUAAGUGACAUAAACUGGCAUGUUCUGAAAGAAUCACUCUGGAUGCUGUGUGGAGAAAACACUGAAAAGAAUUCUAGAGUGAAAGUUUCAUGAAUAUAAGAAGCAAGACAAGGAAGUGGCUUAUGCUUAAGGCCUUAAAGGCAACCACUGUGACAAUCCAGCCAUUCUCUGGAGAAUUCAGCAGAAAGCCAGUUG
rnacentral:lncRNA from 1 species